rnacentral:rRNA from 1 species
GAUCAUGGCUCAGGAUGAACGCUGGCGGCGUGCCUAACACAUGCAAGUCGAACGAUGAAACCGCCCUCGGGCGGACAUGAAGUGGCGAACGGGUGAGUAACACGUGACCGACCUCGCCCCCCCGCCCAGGGACACGCCCCCCGGAAAGGGGGAUUAAUACCUGGUACUCCGGAAGCGGCGCAUGCCGUCUCCGGGAAAGCUCUCGCGGCGGGGGAUGGGGUCGCGGCCCAUCAGGUAGACGGCGGGGCAGAGGCCCACCGUGCCGACGG